CAAGAUCUAUUUUCUUUAUGCUGUUAACCUUAGGCGGGGAGACUGGGGGAUCUUCAUUUAUAUUUUAAAAUUUGAUUCACUCUGCAGUUUGUCUCCUGUCUAUGUAUCCUUUUGAGAAACCGUUUAUGAGUGAUCAUUCUUCCAUCAGAUUGAACAGGAUCCAGGGGGAAGUACCAAGCCUGUCCCAUCGGCCAUCCUGUGUGUCAUGUCCUGUGACCCAGUGGAUGCUCAGCAUCCUCCAGCUGAAGAAACAGAUUGCCUUAGGUACAUGAAAGGUGAGGACACCUACUAUCCCCAUGGAGCCCAGUUGGGCCUGGGAGUCUGCUGUUUGUACAGCCGGUGGGCUCGUGUUGCUUUGGGCAUCCCUGUGCCUGAAUUCCUGCAGUACACUCGGUGCCUGUUUCCUAAUCUGCAAAACUGGAAUGAUGUUAACCAUCCCGCAGGUUUG